rnacentral:lncRNA from 1 species
UAAAGGCAGAAAUGUGGAAAUGUUGAGAAAAUUCUUGUCUGCAUCACAGACACACAUACUCAUGAUUGCCAAUAAUAUCUGUGGUCCUUAGCUAUAACGUACUCAACUUGAGGGUGGUGGAAGAUCUCCAUGAAUACUGAAGUUUGAAUUUUAGCUCCAGAACUUAUUUGCUGUGUGUGAACUUGGGUAAGUUUCUCUAUUUCUUUUAACCUCGAUUUCCACAUCUAUUAAGAAAUUACAAAUCACAUACAAAGAUUAUAAAAACAAAAUGAGACAGUGCAUAUAAGCACAGCAUUGCAUUUUAGAAAUGUAUUCUAAAAAUAGCACCUACCAGAUAUUAUAUUAGUUUGUACCCAGGAUACUUUUGAUUGCAAGUACAUAUUUUGUCCCUGUAGCUUGACCUUUGUAAGGGCAUGAAUUUUUGUAUUA